UACGUAGGGCGCAAGCGUUGUCCGGAAUUAUUGGGCGUAAAGAGCUCGUAGGCGGCUUGUCACGUCGGGUGUGAAAGCCCGGGGCUUAACCCCGGGUCUGCAUUCGAUACGGGCAGGCUAGAGUGUGGUAGGGGAGAUCGGAAUUCCUGGUGUAGCGGUGAAAUGCGCAGAUAUCAGGAGGAACACCGGUGGCGAAGGCGGAUCUCUGGGCCAUUACUGACGCUGAGGAGCGAAAGCGUUGGGAGCGAACAGG
rnacentral:rRNA from 1 species